UUAUAUAACAUUCGUUAACAUAAUAUUUUUCACAUGACUCUAACUCUAUUUUUAAUUACCUCAUAUUUUAAAGUUUUUAUUAUUAUUCUUUUUGUAUUUAAAAAUAGAUGUAUAAUUGCACGACUCUUAAUAGUUAACUCAAUUUUUUAGAAUAAAUAGAAUUCGAAUGAAAAUUAUUCAAAUAUUAAAAUUCUUUAAUUCAAGUGAUUCUCCACUGUUGUUACGCUAUCCACCACUUGAAAUGUAGUAAAUUUUUUUUUAAAAAAAAAGCAUAGCCAUUAAAGCAGCUAAAAAGAACCCCACAUGUGAAACACCCCAAGAAUCUAUAAUCUUUAUAGUUGCACAAAUCCAGGGUAANNN
rnacentral:lncRNA from 1 species